CUUCUGUCUGUUCCGUUGGUACAGAAUCCACAUAACGUGUGCCAUCGAUGGGUUCCGGCGCAACGGCGCGUUCGCCAAUGGAUAAACAUAUCGCGGAUCCCUUGUAGCGCCGCACAGUGGGACAAGCUCCGAGCUAUGGCGACGACGGAGGCGGGAGGCAAUGGAUUCGAGUAUCUAUCAGAUCCGAUUGACAGGUAUGUUUGCUGGCGCAAAUUAGGAGUGCUCUGUUGUUUUGGCAGGUUCCCGUUGCCGGAUCUCGUAGGCGGCGACUGCCCACCGGACGGCGACCCCGUCCAAACUCUGGCCUUCGCGGCCGCCGAUUCGAGCAUUGGUGAUGUGGGCGAUGCGGCACUGACAGUUCAACUAGGCCUGAACAGCACCUGCGAUGGCCUGAGCUUGUCAGCGCCAGACUUGGAACAGUCAACUGGCAAAGACGAUCCGCAUGCGCCGGGCUGGACAAAGAGUUUAACAAGAGCAUCCCACGGAUUGAUUGGUUGGAAGGAGAACUGCAACAAGAUAUGCUGCUGAAAAAUCAAUAUGGAGUUCGAGUCAGGUCGAUGUGCUGCAGUAACCUCGGCUGACCUAUCUUGGGCCUUUCAAUGGCGUCGUGCUCUGCAACUUAUGAUAUCCUAAUUCUAUUGCUAUGUUGAGAUAUCUACCUCCUAUAACCUGUGUUGAAGUCUUAAUAUGCUUCUGUCAUGGCCUUCUUCAGUUUGAAGUCAUUUCAUGAAUGUGGAUAUAGGCUUCAGAACUUAUGCUAGAGCAGAGUUAAAUACACUAUUUUCUGUUAAAAAAACUCUUUAGUCCAGUUGUUAGCAAAAUCGUAGCUUCUUCUGGCCUGCUUAUAAAUAUCUUUGCUAUGUUUUACAUUCAAGCUACCCAUUAGUUCUAUAUUGCUGCACGUACCCUUUUUAGGACAGAUGUUUGCCAAAAUUAUUGUACCAAUUAUUCUGGGUGAUGUUCUAUAUGCUCAUUGUUAAAACUCCCACAAUAAAAGUAUUUUUUCUUCUCAAGGCAAUUCGUACAGACAUGAUUACAAAAACUGGUUGGGGUUUUCCCAUCCUAGCAAAUAUUCACAUUUUCCUUUGCAAACAAAAAAGGAUAUUUCGCUUCACAAAAAGUUAACUUUCACCUCACGUGCCUCCAUACGUUUCUUAUAAAUUUCUACCAUUCCAUGUAUUUUAUAAAAUCCUACUCCCUCCGUUUCCUAAAUAUAGGUAUUUUAGAGAUUUCAAUGUGGAUUAGAUACGGAUGUAUAUAGAUGGAUUUUAGAGUGAGAUUCACCCAUUUCGCUCCGUAUGCAGUUCAUAUUGAAAUCUUCUAAAAAGACUUGUAUUUAGGAACGGAGGGAGUACCUUUUAUCGCCAAAAUUGACGGGUGAAACAUUUGAGUGGGUGUUCAAUGAAUUUAUCAGCAUGAUGUGCGAUUAUUCUGUUCUCUGUUUUAAAUUUUGUUAGCUUUCAGUUCCAUGUUGUAUCCCUGUCAUGAUUGCUCCGCUGAGUGUUUGCUCUUUCAACAUUCUAUAUAGUACGCUCAUGCCUUUGAAUAUUUGCUCUCUACGGAGUUUCCAUUUUUAAGUAUGGUGCUUUGAUAGGAGAUGUUUUCAUGUCUGUGCAGAUCAGUGCAGGGCGAUGAAGGUAGCAAUAGAAAAAGUGAUGCCAAGCAGCACGCACUGGUGGUGCAAGUGUCACGUGCUUAAGAAAGCAAAAGAAUAUCUUGGUCCGUAUUACACAAAGACGAGCAAAUUCAGAUCAGAUUUCCACAAAAUAAUACAUCACAUGCUGACGGUUGAUGAGUUCGAGACUGCAUGGAAAGUGCUGACAGAGACACAUGGUCUAAAAAAACACCAUUACCUAACGCAGAUCUAUGAAAUAAGAUCAAAGUGGUCAAAACCAUGCUUCAAGGGAAAAUUUUGUGCAAAAAUGACCAGCAGAACGCAGCGAAAGCGCCAACCGUAUGCUGAAGGGUAUGUCCCUGCAAGCUGCAUCAUGCAUUUAUUUGUUCGACAGUACAUGAGGCUUCUUUUCGAUAGGGAGGCAAGUGAGAACUAUGAAGAGAGAGGCGUACAAAAAUAACAUCCCCAGUGAUGAAAAUGAACAAAUCACUGGAGUUGCAUGCUGGUGAUGUCUACACUCGAGCUAUGUUUGAAAAUUUUGGUGAACUACUGUACGAGGCCGGACAUUUCAGGGUAGAAGAGAUUGAUAAAGGCAAGAUGUAUUGUGGCGACGCUACCACCCAGAGAAACAUGACAAGUAGUGCAGGGUAGAGUAUAAAGUGGAGGUUAUUGAUGAGGGCAGGGAACUCACAUGUCCUCGAUUUCCUAGGUACAGACCAGAUACCAGCAAAGCACAUUCUCAAGCGAUGGACAAAAGAUGCAAGGGAUAUGCUGCCAGAUCACUUGGCACAUCUUCAGAAGGAUAGAAUUUCAGUUAAACUCAAUAACAUUCAGACACUCUAACCUGUACACCCAUGCACUUGAGGUUGCAAGACUUGGAGAUGCAAACACAUAAACAUAUGAAUAUGCAAUGGAUCUCUUGAAAGAGCAAAUCCGGGAACUGACAACUAUGGCAGCUAUCCAGAUGGAAUGGGCUUAGAAGACAGAAUUUAGCCAGGCAAGAGGGAAAGCAAAGAAGCGAUUACAUGGCAUGCAACUCACAACGGAUGUUUGUAUUGACACCGAAGGUAGUGUAAUUGGUAAUUUCAUGGUUCUAAAGGCUCUGGAGAGAUAGCGUAAGGCGGGCCGACCAACCACCAGGUGAGCAAGCCGCCAUACGAUGACCUGGGUGCAAAAAGCAAAAAGUCCAAAAUGGCAGUACGCUGGUGCUGGUGGUGCAUGCGGUGCAAGCGAACACAUUCGUGCUGGUGGUGCAUGCGGUGCAAGCGAACACAUUCGUGCUGGUGGGCACAAGAGCAUCACCUGUCCACAGAGGGGUGAUCUUCCUCGAAAAGAAAGGAAGGAAGCAAAAUGUUCAAACUGGGGAGUUGGUGGUCACAGGAAGAACACCUGCAACAAACCUAAAGUUGUGAUGCAUGUUGUUGAAACUGGUACUUUACAGCAACAGCAGCUGUGCAAGUGACCUGAUUAGCAGGCCCUGAAAGUUUAUUGCGUGUUGUUGAGGGCUCCGUAGCAGCUUGUAUUAUAUUAUGUGUAAUAAUAAUAACUGUUACUGUAUACUCUGGGUUGUUGCUUCAGUUUGCCCGACCUAAUACAUCGCCUUUUGUUAUUUGA